rnacentral:lncRNA from 1 species
GGAAACAUCUAGUCCCAAUUUGUUUUUUGUUUUUUGUUUUUUUUUAACAAAAUAUAACUCCUUCUAUUUUCCUACCCUUUGUCCGGGCUAUAAAACAUAAGGGCUAAGGAGGUAGAUUGGUAAAGUUCUGACCCACAAACAUAGGACCUGUGUUCAGAUCCCUACCACCCACAUUUAAAAAAAGAAAUUGAACACAAUGGCAUACAUCUGUAAUCCCAGCACUAGGGAAGCAGAGACAGGUGAAAUUUAGGAGCUUGCUGGCCUCCAGUCUAGCUCUAAGUUCAGUGAGAGACCCUUUCUCAGGAAAGAAAAGAAAAAGAAAAGAAAAGAAUCAGAUGGAGAGUGUGUCUCAGUCACUGUUCUGUGGACACACCAUGUCCAUGGCGAGUCUUACAAAAGAAGACAUGUAAUGGGAGGUUUGCUUAGAGUUUCAGAGGGCAAGCCUGUUAACUCACCAGGGAGUCUGCUGGCAAGAUGAAGACAGAACAGUAGCCAAGAGCUACACCCUGACCACAAACAGAAAGAGAUUGAGCUUGUCAUGGGCUUUUGAAACCUCUAAGCCUACUCCAGUGACACACUUCCUCCAACAAGACCACACCUCCUAAUCCUUCUAAUGUCAAAGAGCUCUACUCCUUGAUGACUAAGCAUUCAAAUAUAUAAGCCUAUAGACAUCAUCUUUUUCAAACCACAAAAGAGAAUAACUAAGGAAGACACUUGGUAUCAACCUCUGACAACGUACACCUACAUGAGGACACAUCUGCACAUAUACAGACACCAUACACACAGAAUGUAUUUAUUUUUAAUUAAAACAACACAUUUCAGCUAGAUAUGGUAGCAUACACCUGUAAUCCCAGCAUUGGGGAGUUAAAAAGGAACACUGAGUUCAAACCAACCUGGGGUACAUAGAGAGACCUUACCUACCUAUGUAAUAAACCUAUGCAUUUUAAAUGUCGUGGUUAAAUAAAUGUCUGUCUGUUACAAGAUGGACUUUGUAUCUCCAAACUAUUUUUCCUAUUUUACAGUCAAUACAGAAAAUAAAAUACACACCUAGAAUGUUGACUACACCAAAGGUCAUAAAUAAUGGAUAGUAGAAUAGAAAAAAUAACUAAUUUCUUCCUCCUGUGUAUCCUUUAUGUUAUAACUGUUAGAAAAAGACAGUCUGGGGUGGCACUGCACACCAUCCCUAUAACCCCUGACCAGGCAGUCAAGGCCAUCAUUGGCUACAGUAUGCGUCCGGGCUGAGGGAGACCUUCCCAGACCCCUCCCCCAAAUAGUGGAAGAAAGCUGUCUUUUCACACCUGUUUUCUCAUCUUUAAGACCAUCUUACCUUAAACAGUUUUUUCUCUCAUGCUUGCAAAUCUAGUUUUAAAUUUUUAUUAUCUUAAUUAGUUUAAAGAGAAAUAGGAAAUAAAUUAUCCAAAGCCUUCGAUUACAGUUCCCGCCUUUGGUUCUUUAGGUUUGAGAGCACAGGAGUAGAGGUUGACCAAAACUUUCCCCACUGACUUUCUCAACAGAGUCUCUUCUCUAGACUUCUGUCAUACAUAGAGUGGUAGGUUUGUAACUAGGCUGAGAACCUUAGAAAGAGAGACACCUAGAGCAGAGGAGACACUCUAAGAAUAGGAAAGAUGAAACCAGAUGAAUUGGACCAAAGUGAUUUUUUCAGUGAAUUUAUUAUUAUGAUUGGCCCCAGAUAGUGUGAGCUCUUUUAAAUGUCUUUAUUAUUUUUCUUCAAAAAUAUCCUUUCUGGAAAAGGCAGCUUGUUCUUGAAGGUAAAGUGAUUAUAUUCAUAAUUAUAUAAUCAGACACACUAAUUUACUGUGUUUGCAUUAAACAAAGCAUUUAGAAACACAUUAAUCCAUGCUUAACAUU